UGCACUUUCUGAGUCAUUUUGAUUCACACAGGUAAGAGUCAGGGUUUAAAUUAGACAAUUUCUGGCUGGGAAAGUUAUACUGUUCCUAAAAUGGAACGUGGAGAAAGGAGGUGUGACAAUAGUGUAAAAUGACUCAUCGUCAGCCACAAUUAGACUUUCUCCAUUGCCUGCCAAGUGCUCAACAGUCCUGGGCUCAGAGCUGCACAGUCUCUGUUAAAGGCUGCCUUGGUUUCUGGUAAUCUUCCUCAGUUACUGAAAAUUAUUGAUCCUGUUUCCACACAUCUCAAUGUUAAUCGGUUUCUCCUGAAGUGUCCCCAUGGACACCAGAGACCAGCUUGACC
rnacentral:lncRNA from 1 species